rnacentral:lncRNA from 1 species
AAACACAUCCUGUAGUUUGCUAUCCCGAUUGUGUCAACAAUUCCAGUCCGCGGCUUCCUCUGACGCUGUGCUUCUUUGUGUUAAAAUCUCUGGUAAGAUCCCCUAAUCAUGUACCCUAAAUUUUUCAAAUUGAUAAUACUCAGAUUUAUGUUGAUCAUGUUUUUUCCUCUACACAAACUUCAUCUGUUGAUUUGAUGAGUCAUGUAGCUGAAUAAACGUGAUAUACAAGUUCCUGAAUUGAAGAUUGAUUGCUUUGUGGAAAGAAAUAAAUGGGUUUUGAUGGUAACUUUGAGUCUUUGAUGAGAGAGCUUCAAUUUGGACUAGCUCUGUACCCUCGAACUGGAAGCCCCAAAUCUUCUGAAAUCUCUCUCUUUUGGUGCAAUCUGAAAUACCUCUAACGUGCGCAAUCGGCACGCUUUGGGACUACAUAUGGGAGGUUCUGUAGCUCAAAUUCCUUCUUCUUCUAUUUUUUUUACUCGCUAAUUUAACCACUUUCCUAUGUAGUAGUAUAGUUGUUUGCGAAAUUCGUAUAAUAUAAAUAAACCUCCAUUACAAAGUGCCAAUUCUUCAUAUUUUUAUGCUAAUUUAGGAUUUCAGGUAUGGAUUGUGGCUGCAUUUGUUGGGAAAAACACCACCCAAAGACUGUUGUUGUUGAUAAAUUAAAUGAAUAAUAAGUAAAAAAAACAAACAAAGAGACACCAAGAUUAUCAAACCACGAGACACCAAGAAUUUUUACGUGGAAAACCCUCUAAAACUAAGAGGUAAAAACCANNNNNNNNNNNNNNNNNNNNNNNNNNNNNNNNNNNNNNNNNNNNNNNNNNNNNNNNNNNNNNNNNNNNNNNNNNNNNNNNNNNNNNNNNNNNNNNNNNNNUCUCUAAAGGACCUAGAGUUUGCUUAUUUCCAGUUUUAACUUCUGUAAUUCUUCAUUGCAUCAGUAGAAUAACAUUAUUUUGGGUCAAUAGCAACUCAUCUGGAUCCUUUUAUGGAAGAAAUAUAGGUCUCGCGGUUCCUCGAUCUAAAUUGGGAGUUUUGAAAUUCAAUCCACGUUGGGUUUUGGGUUCACUUGAUUCUUUAAAGGUAAACAUACUUAUUGAAUGUUUAUUGGAGUAUGAGGUUGUUCUUUUGCUUCUUGUAUUUACCUCACAUACUUUAAUACUUAUUAAUUAUUGUUAAUGUUUUUGGCAUAGUAAGAAGACUUUAAAAGAAGCAACUUUUUAGUUUGUGGAGAAUGUAACAAGAUGUGUUGAAUCUGCUGAUUAUCCUAUAGUAUGCAAUGAACUUCUAAAUAUAUUUAUGAAUUAUAUGAUAAUGACCCUGAAGUCCACCAUUUAUUCUAAUCUGUUAAAGAGUGUAUUAUGAAUUUAGGUGACCUUUUGGGUUCAGCUAGCAGGAUGCUUGAUUUUAUUUUGUUGUGCACCCAUUUAUACAUGUUAUCUUAUAUCCCGUGUAUAUAUUUUGUGUUAUUUUGUGGCCUGAUUCGUGCCUCCCUUUAUUUCAGUUUUUUGCUCUUACCAGACAUUAAAAUAGACUGCAUAAUAUUGGAAUUAACUUUUCCAACUCAUACCAAUAUCUUUCUAAAGGUUUCAAUUCUUAUCUCUAAAGGACCUAGAGUUUGCUUAUUUCCAGUUUUAACUUCUGUAAUUCUUCAUUGCAUCAGUAGAAUAACAUUAUUUUGGGUCAAUAGCAUCUCAUCUGGAUCCUUUUAUGGAAGAAAUAUAGGUCUCGCGGUUCCUCGAUCUGCUUUAUUUCUGUUACUUCCAAAAUAUCUCCUCUAUCAAAGAUACUGUUCUCAUUAUAAUGAAUGAUUUAUUCUCCAAGUAUAUCCCCAACAAAUAGGGUUGUUGUCAACUUUGUCUUGACAUUGCAGUUUGAAGCACAUAAGACUAUAAGAAGAACAUAUAGUGUAGGGUGUGUGUGUGUGAUGGCUGCAACUAUGGACAACAGCAGAAUACCUCUUCCCUUCCCCCAGAUUUCCCUAUCUACUGAUACACUGCAGCAAUUAUAUGUUAAUUCUACAGUACGUUCUAUGCCCACAUUAUGAAACAACCGCUUUUUUAUAUUGCUCUUCCACAUUUUGCACCUUCUUUUUCUCAUCUUGUAAACCACUGGAACCAUUCGAACUGUGUUCUACCACCAAAUUCUAUGCCUACAAUAUGAAAUAACGGAAUGGAUCCAAUUCCAUAUUGCAACGUUCCUUUAUCAGUAAACUAAUUUGUAGGGUUAGAUUUUGUGCUAUAAAUAUUUCAUUUUAAUUUUCAUGUAGAAGAAGAUACUUAUGUGGCUUCAGCUUGCAUAUUGUCCAAUUAUGAUAAAAACAUUAAAUAUGUAUUG